UCUGACGUCACAAAUGUCACAAAAUUGGGAGGAGCUUAUAUUGACUCCAAACAAUUUUGUUUGUGACGUUAAAUGGUUAUAAGGAAUUUUUCUUUUAUGUGCUUUGUGUGGCAAAAUAAGACUUCAUUUACGUAUUUCGUUAAAGAAACCUGUUAAUUAAGAGAUUUUUAUUCGUUUUUGCUCAGGUGGUUUUUAUUCCUUAGUGGUUGAAAAUAAACAUAACCUCAAAACUGUUUACGUUCUAAUAAUUGCAUUGAAUUAACUCACCUGGGCAAAAACGAAUA
rnacentral:lncRNA from 1 species